rfam:Clostridium cadaveris strain NLAE-zl-G419 genome assembly, contig: Ga0070261_106
CCGUGCUAGAUGGGGAGUUAGCGGUGCCCUGUACCUGCAAUCCGCUAUAGCAGGAUCGAAUGCCUCAUAUGAGGCUUUAAAACGUAAGGUCUGGCCCGUAUAAGUGGCGUUGAGAGUUGGGCCUCACGCAAUGUAAGCCCAUGAAAUUCGUCAGGUCCGGAAGGAAGCAGCGAUAAGUGGUCACUUGCAUGUGACGUGAGAUCACCUGACUUGAGUUAACUGUACGGGUAACGCUUAUGAAUUAAAGUCGAUUUGAGGUGCACGG